UAGAGCGGCGGACGUGGUGAGUAACGCGUGGGUGACGUACCCUCUGGACGGGGAUAGCUCCUAGAAAUAGGAGGUAAUACCGGAUAAGGUCGUAUGUGUCAGAGGCAUACGAGGAAAGGUUCUUUUGAACCGCCGGAGGAGCGGCCCGCGUACUAUUAGCUAGUUGGUGAGGUAACGGCCCACCAAGGCGACGAUAGUUACCCGGCCUAAGAGGGUGAACGGGCACAUUGGGACUGAGAUACGGCCCAGACUCCUACGGGAGGCAGCAGCUAAGAAUAUUCCGCAAUGGGGGAAACCCUGACGGAGCGACGCCGCGUGGGAAUGAUGAAGGCCGGAAGGUUGUAAAAAUCCUUUUAGGUGCGAGGAAUAAGUAAGGUGAGAGAAACGCCUUAUGGUGACGGUAGCACCUGAAUAAGCAACGGCUAAUUACGUGCCAGCCGCCGC
rnacentral:rRNA from 1 species